rnacentral:lncRNA from 1 species
AUAAAUGUUCUACAAUGUCUGACAUUCAAUUAAUCCAAAUUUAAGCAAAAAAUUGUGACUAUGAAUAUCCAUAAAGAAAUAGGAGACCGGAGAAUCUCCAAUUUGGAUUAACACAAACACUUAGUUCAAAGAAAAAUAAGAUAUGGAUUAAUGUGGCCACAAAGAAUGUCAAUAAUGAACAAAUUAUGAUUAUGCAAUUCAUAAGUACUUUAAGAACACAAUAUCAUACUCGAUAGGAAUAUUGAUAUUAUACGUAGUACUUACUAUUUAUGACCUUAUAGAAUGUGUAGUGUUGGUAAAGGAGAAGCACAAUAUAUUUGAAUGCUAAGAGGUAAUUGUGCAUUUUCCAACAAAUUGACUUAAGCAUCUAAUUAUGAUGCUUACCGAGAUUAAAGAGUUGAUAUAUAUCAACGUAUAGUAGAAUGAGACUGAAAUUUAAAGUCUCUUAAGAUAUGCCAUAUUUUAUUAAGCGCUCAAAAGUAUAUGGCAAGAGUGAGAUUAUAACUUUAAGUUUUGUGUUUAUAUCAUUGUGUACAUAUUUUUAUUGAUCUCACAUAUAUGAACAAGAGUGAAAUUUUUAUUUGAGCUCAUAGUAUAUAAUAUUNNNNNNNNNNNNNNNNNNNNNNNNNNNAACACAAGUGGUAACUCAAUAAUAAUAUAAAAUCCAAUAUAUACAAAACUUUUCAAUGACAGAUUUUUAUAAGUGUUGGAUUUCAUGGUUAACCACAUAUUCUGCAUUUAGAAUUAAGGAGAUUGUUAAAUUUUACUUAACAAUUUAUAAUAUAAAUCUCCUUAUAACAAAUAAAAUUCUCAAAAGAAUUUUUAUAUAUAAAGUAGCUAUCAUAUAAAGAGUAUGAUGAUCAUAUAUAAAAGGUUUAUCAUCAUAUGAGUGUGAUUAAGUCUCUAGUAUUGUAAAAUAGGGUAUGAGACUAUAUAUAUUAAAAAAUUAAUAACUCACUCAUAAAACUCAAAUGCUACAAUUAUAGACACACAUUUGAGAAAUAGUUUGGUUACACGCAGCGGAAAUACAUGAGACUUACAUUUUAUUAUUAUUGAGAGUAUAUGAGAAAAUAGUCAUUAACUUCCAUAAGUGUUGAAAAAUAACAAUAGUUUGAAAUAUGUC